rnacentral:rRNA from 1 species
GAUGAACGCUGGCGGCGUGCCUAAUACAUGCAAGUCGAGCGAACGGACUAGAAGCUUGCUUCUCUGAUGUUAGCGGCGGACGGGUGAGUAACACGUGGAUAACCUACCUAUAAGACUGGGAUAACUUCGGGAAACCAUAGCUAAUACCGGAUAAUAUUUUGAACCGCAUGGUUCAAAAGUGAAAGACGGUCUUGCUGUCACUUAUAGAUGGAUCCGCGCUGCAUUAGCUAGUUGGUAAGGUAACGGCUUACCAAGGCAACGAUGCAUAGCCGACCUGAGAGGGUGAUCGGCCACACUGGAACUGAGACACGGUCCAGACUCCUACGGGAGGCAGCAGUAGGGAAUCUUCCGCAAUGGGCGAAAGCCUGACGGAGCAACGCCGCGUGAGUGAUGAAGGUCUUCGGAUCGUAAAACUCUGUUAUUAGGGAAGAACAUAUGUGUAAGUAACUGUGCACAUCUUGACGGUACCUAAUCAGAAAGCCACGGCUAACUACGUG